rnacentral:rRNA from 1 species
AUUGAACGCUGGCGGCCGGCCUACCACAUGCAAGUCGAGCGAGCGGCGGACGGGUGAGUAAUGUCUGGGAAACUGCCUGAUGGAGGGGGAUAACUACUGGAAACGGUAGCUAAUACCGCAUACCAUCAGAUGUGCCCAGAGGGGAUUAGCUAGUAGGUGGGGUAAUGGCUCACCUAGGCGACGAUCCCUAGCUGGUCUGCGAGGAUGACCCGCCACACUGGAACUGAGACACGGUCCAGACUCCUACGAGAGGCAGCAGUGGGGAAUAUGGCACAAUGGGCGCAAGCCUGAUGCAGCCAUGCCGCGUGUGUGAAGAAGGCCUUCGGGUUGGAAAGCACUUUCAGCGGGGAGGCGUUACCCGCAGAAGAAGCACCGGCUAACUCCGUGCCAGCCGCCGCGGUAAUUC